rnacentral:rRNA from 2 species
GGAGGAUCCAAGCGUUAUCCGGAAUCAUUGGGUUUAAAGGGUCCGUAGGCGGUUUAGUAAGUCAGUGGUGAAAGCCCAUCGCUCAACGGUGGAACGGCCAUUGAUACUGCUAGACUUGAAUUAUUAGGAAGUAACUAGAAUAUGUAGUGUAGCGGUGAAAUGCUUAGAGAUUACAUGGAAUACCAAUUGCGAAGGCAGGUUACUACUAAUGGAUUGACGCUGAUGGACGAAAGCGUGGGUAGCGAACAGGAUUAGAUACCCUGGUAGUCCACGCCGUAAACGAUGGAUACUAGCUGUUGGGAGCGAUCUCAGUGGCUAAGCGAAAGUGAUAAGUAUCCCACCUGGGGAGUACGUUCGCAAGAAUG